GAAACGAACAGCAGCUGUUCCCCCCCACCAUUUUCUUCAUUUUUUAGAUCUGCUAGGGUUUCAAAAGGAACCCAUUUCGCCGCCGUCGUCGGACUGCCACCUUAUACGAUGGCCGGCGUUCCCAAAUCACCCUUUUUUCGGCUGAUUUGGCUCUCCCUACCUCGUUUUAAAACCCAAAACUCUUAAAAAAUAAAAUAACAGACAAUAAACCCUCGGUUUCCUCCUCCAAUCUUAAGAAAGGUAAUGUUUUUUUUCUUCUCUUUUCUUUUUAUUUUCUUUUUUUCUAUCAAAAACAAGCAUGAAAGCAAAAUAAUCAAGAAAAAGGAACAACCUUUUUACUAUUUUUUGUAUUUCGAUUUCUAUGGGACCUUUUUUGUAUUGAUUUUUUGAAUAUUCAAGAAUCCCCCCAUUUACAACCGGUUCCCCUUUUUGAAUUUGGAAAAACCGCUUUUUUUAAUUCAGAAAAAAAAACCCCCUUAAUACAUUCGCUUCUUCUCGGCUUUAUAGCCUGUUACAAUAUUAGGAAAAUAUUAUUUAUUUUUGUCAUUUUUGUUUGUCUGCUUCUGUCUUGGUGUCUGCUUCAUUUUGCAGGUGUCAGAUGACCCUCAGAAGCGUACGGAGUGGCGAUGACAGAGGCGUGGUGGCCGAGCACACGUGGGGAGGCCGAUGGUUCGGCGGCCAUAUGCUUGGGGCUAGGGUUUUUUACUUGUUUAGCAGAAAAUAUUUUGUGGGCUAAGUUUUUAUGUUUAUUGGGCUUAUUGGGCUUGCAACUGGGUAAUGGGUUUUGUAAUUGUUUUAUUUGGUUUUUGGGCCCCGGGCAAAAUUUGGGCCUUACACAGUCGCUUCCACCAUAUCUUCAAACACAGAUCGAUAUAUUGGAAAUACAAAAUAGAGAGUUGCAGUCAACGUUCAGUGGGUAACUAAAACACUGCGUAGAAUUGAUUUUGAGAUAUGGGUACUGCAAAAGCAGUGAGAAUCAGUGGAUGCGAGUGAUGGAGUGUACUGUGAAAAUGAAAAUGAAAAAAAAAAAGAGAAUCAAAGGGACUUCGGUGAAAAUCAAAGGUAUUUUGAUUUGGGGAUUUGGGGAAACCGAUUUGAGGAUAUCGAAUUGGGGGAAGUUUUAUGGGAUUUGGAGAUUCAAGGUUUGGGGAACUAGACGUUCAGGGGUAAUCUGAAUUGGAGAAAGUAAAGGAAAUUUGGGGCUCCAAAAAACGAAGUCGUUUUCAAUCUAUUAAGAGAUGUUUGUGGCGUUUUUUAUAAAAACGACGGUAAUUUUGCAGCGUUUUUAAGAAACGCCACUAAGUAUGCAGCC
rnacentral:lncRNA from 1 species